rnacentral:lncRNA from 1 species
GAUAACUGCAGGAUAUCAGAUUGCAAUACAGCUUUUGUUCAGUUGUCUUUGUGUUGAUUAUUAUGUUUUAAAUCCCUUUCUGGUUCUUUGGAUGUUCAGAUUUUUGUUCUCUUGAUUAAGGCAAGCAACAGAACUUGUACAACUUAUGUAGUUUCUUAUCUCAGGGUGAAUCCAGAAAAUUUUAAACAUAAGUGGUGGUAUUCUCAACCAAGG